CAACAAAUGAGAAUCAAAUUUGACUACAAUAACUAAAAUCGAAGUUUUGAAUGUUCAUGGGUGGCAUAGUUUAUUGUGGUCCUUGUGGGUGAGAUUUGGAGUGGUGGUUCAUGAAAGGAAAUAACGAGUUUUCAGUUCUGGACUUGGGAAAGACAAAGGCACAUGCGAAUCAAUAUCUCCAUUUAAUCUUGAACAUUAAUUUUGAUCUAAUUUUUGAAAAUUAUUCCUACCAUUCCCAUAUAAAUUGUC
rnacentral:lncRNA from 1 species